rnacentral:rRNA from 1 species
AACAAACGCUGGCGGCGUGCCUAAUACAUGCAAGUCGAACGGGGAAUAUACCUUCGGGUAUUAGUACUAGUGGCGCACGGGUGAGUAAUACGUAGAUAAUCUUCCUUAAAGUGGGGAAUAACCAGUCGAAAGACUGGCUAAUACCGCAUAAGACCACAGGCUCCGAGGAGCUAGGGGUUAAAGGCUUCGGUCGCUUUAAGAUGAGUCUGCGUCCCAUUAGCUAGUUGGCGGGGUAAAAGCCCACCAAGGCAGUGAUGGGUAACUGGUCUGAGAGGAUGAUCAGUCACACUGGAACUGAGACACGGUCCAGACUCCUACGGGAGGCAGCAGUAGGGAAUAUUGCGCAAUGGGGGCAACCCUGACGCAGCGACGCCGCGUGAGUGAUGAAGGACUUAGGUUUGUAAAGCUCUGUUCUAGGGGAAGAAAAAAAUGACGGUACCCUAGAAGAAAGGACCGGCUAACUUCGUGCCAGCAGCCGCGGUAAGACGAGGGGUCCAAGCGUUGUUCGGAAUCAUUGGGCGUAAAGCGGGUGUAGGCGGCUUUGUAAGUCAGAAGUGAAAGCCCUGGGCUCAACCCAGGAAGUGCUUUUGAUACUGCUUAGCUUGAGUAUGGGAGAGGAUAGUGGAAUUCCAGGUGUAGAGGUGAAAUACGUAGAUAUCAGGAGGAACACCGGUGGCGAAGGCGGCUAUCUGGCCCAAUACUGACGCUCAGACCCGAAAGCGUGGGGAGCAAACAGGAUUAGAUACCCUGGUAGUCCACGCUGUAAACGAUGAUCACUAGGUGUUGGGGGUAUUAACUCCUCCAGUGCCGCAGCUAACGCAUUAAGUGAUCCGCCUGGGGAGUACGGUCGCAAGAUUAAAACUCAAAGAAAUUGACGGGGGCCCGCACAAGCGGUGGAGCAUGUGGUUUAAUUCGAUGCAACGCGAAAAACCUUACCUGGACUUGACAUCUAGUGGAAGACUCUCAGAGAUGAGGUCGCCUUCGGGCCGCUAGACAGGUGCUGCAUGGCUGUCGUCAGCUCGUGUCGUGAGAUGUUGGGUUAAGUCCCGCAACGAGCGCAACCCUUAUGUUUAGUUGCCAGCAUUUAGUUGGGCACUCUAAAGAGACUGCCGACGUUAAGUCGGAGGAAGGUGGGGAUGACGUCAAGUCCUCAUGGCCUUUAUAUCCUGGGCUACACACGUGCUACAAUGGCCGAUACAGAGGGCAGCGAAACCGCAAGGUCGAGCAAACCCUAAAAAACCUAUCUAAGUUCGGAUCGUAGUCUGCAACUCGACUACGUGAAGCUGGAAUCGCUAGUAAUCGUGGAUCAGCACGUCACGGUGAAUACGUUCCCGGGCCU